rnacentral:rRNA from 1 species
UACAGAGGGUGCGAGCGUUGUCCGGAAUCACUGGGCGUAAAGGGCGCGUAGGUGGCGCUCCAAGUCUGUGGUGAAAGCUCGACGCUCAACGUCGAGUCGGCCAUAGAGACUGGAGGGCUCGAGCACUGUAGGGGCAGAUGGAAUUCCGGGUGUAGCGGUGGAAUGCGUAGAGAUCCGGAAGAACACCGGUGGCGAAGGCGGUCUGCUGGGCAGUUGCUGACACUGAGGCGCGACAGCGUGGGGAGCGAACAGG